CUCGAGAGCGAUCAAACUCUACCAAAAAAGCCUGAGUUUCACCAAGCUCUUGAUUUUGUCCGCAAGGUUAAGGCAAGGUUACAAGAUGAUCGUGCAUACAUGUCUUUCAUAACAAUAUUGAAAAUGCAUAUAGAAGGAAAGAAGUGCGUUACUGAGGUUUACCAUGAGGUGUCUGAGGUCCUUCUCCGAGACCACCCCGACUUGCGUGAGGAAUUUGCUUUUUUCCUCCCUAGUUAAUAUAGAGAGAAGGGUGAG